rnacentral:lncRNA from 1 species
UUCAGCCAUUCUUCAAAUAAUUUUUUUUUCUUUUUUCUCUCAAUUCUCUUUUUUCUCAGCCGUUGCCCAGAAUCCGGCCAUCGGCCACUGUGGCAGCCGCCGCUCACCGGCGACGGCGCCGUCGUGCACGGUGGUCGGAAAUCGUCGAAAAUAUUUUAAACCCCCUUUUUUGUGUAGAAUAUAGAUCUAGGGAUAAAAAUCUCAAAAAAUCACUCUAUGUUGCAGAUUCAAGACAUGCAAGUACUUUACUUACUGGGUUAGUUUUCUACUUACUUGAUCUAUUGCUUUGCUUGCUGCCUGUGCCCUGUGGCUAUGUUUUUUGCCUUGCCGAAAUAUGGAGAAUGAAGAAAUAUAUUUUGCCUUUUCGUUUGCUUGUGAUUCUGUGAAAUGUGAGUUUGUGAGUCUGUGACUUACUGACUUGUAUUGUGAUUUGUGAGUGAGUUUUGAUUUUUUAAUCGACUUUCAGUCUUUUACUUUACUUUACUUUACUUUGUUUUGAUUGAAAGUUUGAAACUUGACCGAUUUUGCAGGUUGGAAGGGAAUAUAUUCCCUUGCCUUUUGUUUUAUUAUCAAGUACAUUGAUUCAGUCUUUCUUCUCACUUUUCACUAUUCAUUCAAUAUUUCAUUCACCAGAAUCACCAUCCAUCUACAGCACUUGAUUUUUUUUUUAAUUUAUGGAAACGGAGAAUAACGGGAAUAGCGGCCCGUUAUUGUCGCAAUUGUCCGUUAUCCGUUAAAUUGCGGCCGCUAUCCACCGUUAUCGGUGUGAAUCCGCUUCCCUCCGUUAUUUUCAGCAAUAGCGGUUUCGGUCGGCGGCGCUACCACUAUAUAACGGCCGCUAUUCUGAAAACGUUCCGUUAUUUGAAUCCCUGACUCAACCAAAUUGGAAGAGAACCUCUCAGGUGACAAAAUGUAAUAAUAAGUGCCUUAAGACUUGUGAAUUGCAGAUUCACAUUGCUAGGCAUUUCUUCCUGGUAAAAGUUCAAACGAAGGACCAAUAUAGUCAAAUUUUUGCAGUGUUGCAGUAUCUCAAGUGCUGUGGAUAUAUUAUUGAUGCUGGUCUUUCCAAGCGAGAGGAAUUCCAGUGCGUGCAGAUUUCUAAACUCGAAUGGAACUACACUAUCGAGUUUGUUGCGUGCAAGAUCCAGAGCUCUCAAGCUCUG